AAAGCUCCGGCGCCCAAGGAUGGGUCUGCGGCCUAUCAGGUAGUAGUGGGUGUAGCGUAUACCUACUAGCCUACGACGGGUACGGGUUGUGAGAGCAAGAGCCCGGAGAUGGAUUCUGAGACACGAAUCCAGGCCCUACGGGGUGCAGCAGGCGCGAAAACUUUACAAUGCGGGAAACCGUGAUAAGGGAAUCUCGAGUGC
rnacentral:rRNA from 1 species